CUGACCCUGUCAGUGAGGAGCUGUCAUUCACUUCUUUCUGUAUCUCCACGGAUUAUAGAAAGAAAGGACUCUGCUCUCUGGGGAAGGGAUUCUUUAGAGUGGAAGUCAUAUGUGGAGCUUCUGUGACAGCGAAGGUUUUUGUUGGCCUUUUUAUGCAGGCCCAGGGGAAUAGCAUAUCAGAGCAACGUGUUUGUGGAGUAAAUAUCUUUGAUGAUAACAGCAGGACAGGCCUUCCAGAUGAGCCACAACCUUGGUGUUCAAUCGUCUCUUCCAAGGAGGAGGAUGUCUGCAGUAGCUGUGUCCAGACUUGGUCAGGAGAGCAGCUGUGUCGUCCAGUUUGCAUUCCAGCUUGGCUCUUCAGGAGUGAAAGCAGCUGGCUACUGGCUGUACUAAACCACUUUAACGGCUUCUCCCAGCUCUUUAGGUGCUGCUGCUGCUUUAAAGGGACCGUGGCAACCUGCAGAUACACGGGAGAAACAGGAGUGCACAUCCUUCCUGUUCUGCAUUAAAGGCCGGAUUAGGGAAGACAGAGGUGUGAAGAGUGCCGUUGUGGUCAAAUCCUGCUCUAGGUACUACAUACUGUCACGGGAGUCAGAACUGCGUUGUUAAAGACCCUGUGCAGACGGAAGAAUCCGGAAAUGACAGCUGAGGAAGAUACAGCAGGGUUAGGAUGGGUUGACAGACAGGGGGUGGUGACUGUAGGGAUCUGUGCACGGGGGGGAAAUUCAGAAGCAGCCAAGUCCAGGGAAGUCCAAAACG
rnacentral:lncRNA from 1 species